GUUUCUGUAGUGUAGCGGUCAUCACAUUCGCCUCACACGUGAAAGGUCCCCAGUUGGAACCUGGGCAGAAACU